CCACUUUGACUUGUGUGUUGUGUUCAAUUGUAUUGCGAAUCAAGUUUGGUGCCACCAAUGGAAUGGUGGUGCUGCAGACACUUCUAUUGAUUCUUCACUACUAAAUAACAACAAUGGAAAUGAUUUCUGUUUGUUCUUUUUCCCAAAUGGAAAUAAUAUGCUGUGAUAGAGAAAAAUUAGACAUGUUUUGAAAAAUAACCAUGGUGACAUUGUGUCCUUACUAAGCUGUAACCUUCAAGGAUGAGGUGAUGCCAUUCUUUAUAGGUUUUUCGUGCUGCAGUUGUGGCUUUGAGAAGCACUGUGCCUCUUUUACUUCAUGCCUUUUCUUGAACAGCAGUGCAAGGAUAAUGUCCUGAUACUUUAAAGGCAUCAAGAAUACCGAAAAAAUAAAAAAUAUGGACACAAAAGAUAUCCUUUUCAUAUGUGGUGGGGCAUUUGUUAAUUUGGAGAAAACCAUUUCAGAAAGACGACAAGAUUGCUUUCCAUUCGCUUGUGGAGCACCA